UAAAUGUGUACUGUUGGGGUAACACUGUGCUAGGCCAACAAGCGGAUAAGGCAGUGAUGUAGGAACGCCGGAUGUCCCAACUCCACCAUUUCCUUCAUGCCAAACUGACUUUUUUUAUGUACAGACGUGUAAACUGGAACAUUGGUACAUUGUGGGAGGCAACCAGUCUGUCUAGAGAGACUACCAUCUGGGCCCAGUUGGUAAGCAUGUGGGCUUGUUGGUAAGAGAGCAGAGCGAUCUCAUCUGCAAAGUUCAGAUCCUUGAGUACUAAGGCCUAGAUUCAAUCCGGACCUUGGAAGAUCCGUGAUUGACAUUUAAAGUGAAUCCAGGUCUUCAUAUCAUCAAGAUAAUUUGUUUGUGCAAGGAGAGAAAGCAAAAGCAUAUACAGUCGACCCUCUACCUCCCCAUUGCCACCAGCUGAAGAUCACAUCUUCUGAUCCUCUUUCACCCAGCUGGAGGAGUUCUGAUUCUAGCUUUCCAUCAAAUGGCUACCUGCCAUUCUGCCGCCUGGCUCCGGGGAUCAUCCUCCGGAAGAUGGGUUCAUCACCAAAAUAUAUUUUCAUUAACUUUCACAUUUGCAUUCAGUUUUUGUUGUUCAUUCAGUUAAGCCUGUAUUCGAUUGAACUAAAGUACAUUUAUAUCAUAUGAAGGUUCUCAAAGAAAUCCAUUUGUCUCCUAAAAUAAACCUUUUUGAAGAAAAUUACC
rnacentral:lncRNA from 1 species